GCACAAAUGAGCAGCAGCUGAGUAAGGUGGUGCACAAAAUAAGUCAGCCCUGCCUGCCUUUGUAACAGAGGAAGAAAGAAAAAGAUGCAGGCAGGAAAAACAAACAACACAAACAGUCCAACACUAACAUAUUCUCUGUUUCCUUUCUUCGUGCCAUUGGUGUAAAUUGUCUCGUCUCUUCUGCUUAACCACUGUAUUCCUUUCGGGCGUCAUGGGGAGGGUACACAAUGAGCAAAGGCAGGGUUUACCCCUGGAUGAGUCACCCAUUCAUCGCAGGGCCCUAUAUCAGCAUAUCAGCAUUCUUUAUUUCAGUUUCUAGGAAAGCUGUAAGGUCAUUUGUAAUGCUCCCCUUCCUGAAUCCACUCUGGACAAUAAUCUCUGUUUCUCUAUAUGAUAGAUCAUUCUAUAUAUUAUCAUCCUUUCUAUGAUCCUUGCUAUGUGUGAUGUGAGAGCAAGGGGCCUCUAGCUUAUUGGAUAUGUUGAAUAUUUUACUGGUUUUAUUAUAGAUAUGACUAUUGCUUCUUUCAAACUAUUGGGUAACUUGCCCCUUCCAUAUUUAGUUAUAUAGCUCCAAAAUUUAGUUUUUGCCUAAUGUAACAGAUCUGACCCUUUCUAUGGUACUUAUUUCCUUUUUAUUUACCCUUUACUUUUUGGAAUUGUGGCAUUUGUUUUGGGAUUUUAGCCAGUUCUGUGUCUGUUUGGUUGCCUGUUUCUUCUAGCCAUUUUUGUGUAUGACCUCCUGCUUCCAUCUGGUGGGAAAAGAUUUUGUAUUCUGGACUUUGUUCUUCCACCUCGCUCCCUCUUUUGCACCUGGACCCACACGCUCCAGCAUUUUUUCCUUCCAUCUUAAACUCACCACAACUACAUAGUGUUCGUUGGUGGUUAUUGGAUCACUCUUUAUAAAAUGAGACAGCAGGAUGGCGAUGAAUCCACACCUGCAGUUAAUCAGGUCGAUUAGCAGGCCUUUUAAGCACCCAGCACAGGCUGUGCAGCAUCAGAUUGGUUCAUCAAUACUAGUGGUCACCAUGUCUUCCCUUUCGGACGAGCACUUCACCAGAUUUUGGCUUGACACUUCGUUCACUGUAAUUUCCAUAGUAUGCCCACUCUUCUUCAGUGUUGUAAAUAUUUUUGUAAAUAAACUGUUUGUUCACCGGAGUUGCCUUCUUGUCUGUCUUCUUGGGUCCCGCCUUGAGUUUUUGUUACAGUCAUAACAGGUACUGCCACACACUUCCAUGGACCUUCACGGCCCUUGACCAAAACGGACCAAUUACCAGACAGGAUUUAAAAAAGUAAAUACAAGCAUCAGAAAAAGCAGAUUUAAGUAAUCAUUUGCAAGUGUAUUAACA
rnacentral:lncRNA from 1 species